rnacentral:tRNA from 1 species
GGGGAUUUAGCUCAGUGGCAUAAGCACCUGCCUUGCAAGCAGGCGGUCAGAGUUUGAUCCCUG